GUCCCCAACAAGCAGCAAGCAACAUGGAAGAACAUUCAUUUGCCAGCUUCAGUUCUGUCAGUCACCCUGGGCAAAACGUGCCACCAGAACACAUUUCCCAUGCAUGCCAUGGGAGGGAAGGGAUUUCCAGCUCCUUGAGACCAGUGAAGUACACAGUGCAUGCCCCCACUCCAGUCUGCCUUCAAGAAGACCAGAAGGACCAUACAAGACCUAUCUCAGGGUGGGGCCUGACAUGCUAAGCACAGAGUUGGAAGUACAGAUCCCAACAUAAUGAGGACCUGGAAGAAGCAGUCUACCAGGCAGUACCAGAGACCAACUAGAAGCUACUGAGACUGCCUCUGGCAUCCACUGUGGCUUAACCUCAAACCCAUCACAAAGAUGGCCAUCUGUAAUUCUCUGGAGGGACAGUGGGCACACUUAGGCAUAGUAAGAAGGCAGGAGGUAAGAUGUGACUGACCCAGUGGGUGGCCUGGCUUCCUUCCUGUCCUGUGAAGCAUGAGAAAUCCUUCAGAGUCUUUGCCCUGUUAUCCAUCCAUCUAUGAAGUAGCAACUUCUGAAAGUUCAGAGAGGAAGGGCACUUACAUGGGAUCAGGGGGAGAAGGCUUCCUGACCCUUCACCAACAAGCAGGAGAUUCACUAAGUCUUGACUGGUAAAAAUUCAUCUUCCAACACAAAGGAAAUAAUCCAGUGUUGCCCGUGCUUCAUUAAGAACAUCUGAAAGAGACACUCUGUAGGCUUCCCUGUCUUUAAAUGAAGACAAAUCUGCUUUACUUCAUAUGGAAUAACUUUUCUAUUUGAAUUUUUGAGGUUGGGUCUUGCUCUGUAGUCUAGACUGGUCUUGAAUUUGUAAUCUUUCUGUUUUAGGUUCCAGGAUGGACUAAUAUGAAGAAUCCACAGUAUUAUAAAGGAUUUUAAUUCUACAUCCGACAGCCCUAAACUGUCUGAUAUUUUUCUAUUUAUAUGGUGUAUAAAGCUCAGAGCCCUGGGAAGCAGUGCUCUCCAGGGUCCACUCCAGCCAAGUAGAGACUACCUAGAGGCAUUGCUUGGCUCAGAUCAUAGCUGUGAUCUGUAGUCUUCUUGGCUAUAACCCCUAGAGUUUUCAAUAAUAAGGAAUUUGUCCUAAUAUUAGAAGACUCCCCCAAAGCAAUCUGUGACACCCCUCCCUUCAUCUAAAAUGUGAUAGAUACGUGUCCCUGAAAUGAGGGCUCAGACACUUGGACUCUUGACUUGGGCUAUGGC
rnacentral:lncRNA from 1 species